rnacentral:sRNA from 1 species
GGCGCGGCUGGGCCGGCAGGCCGGGCCCGACGCUGGCUCCGAGGCCGGGGCGGCGGCCGGCUGCAGGCCUGCGCCCUACGAGCGCCGGGUGCGGUGGCUCCGCGAGAUCCAGUCCACGCUCGGCGAGCGGCGGCCGGAGCGCGCCCGGCAGCUGCUGCGCCUCCUGCGCCAGGACCUGGGCCUUGAGAGGACCCUCCUUCCUGAUAUCCUCUACAGAGAUGUGGCCUUCCUCAACCUGGUCGACCCCAUCUCCCAUGACCUGCUUGUGAACCUGGCCCGGGACCUGCAGUGCCCCAAGAAGGUGAGGCUGGCAGGCACGGGCCCUGGGCUGGGCACUGUGGUGGACAGGGGCCAGCAGAGCCCAGGGCUGGGGACCGGGAGGCUAGGUCCUUCUGCGGCUUGCUGCGUGGCCUUAGGCAAGUCACUGUCCCUGUCUGAGACCUGCUGCCAGCAUCAGUAUAUUAGGCUGGCCACCAGCUAGAGCAAGUGUGAGCUGUGCUUUGCAGGACCCUCAGAGUCCUGGGCAGACCCGUUUUCUGUGUGGCAGCACUGUGUGCCAGGCCUGGGGACCCAGGCAGGGGAGACUGUAGCUGGGCAGAAGUCAUACGGGGACCCUGCGGGUCACAGACUGUUCUGAGAAAUCCACCAACGGAAACAAACUCCCAGCCUCUGAGUUCCUGGGCCAGAAGAGAGCCGCUCUCGGCUACAGCCCCUAUCUGUCCACAGGUCUCCAUCCUGUACAGACACCCUUGGGGACGGGUGCUCACUGCUUUCCCCCACAACAGCUGGGGUCAUAAGCAAGGCCCUCCUCAUUGCUGGGGUGGAGUUUGCCACCUGCAGCCUCCACCCUACAGCUGCCCAGAACCCCACUCUGAUGGCACCUGCAGAUGUCCUGCCAUGAGCAUCGACACAGCCCCAGGAUGUGUGGCUGUGACCAGCCACUGGACCCAGACUC